AUGAGUGAUCCGUUCCCCCGCGGAUCAUGGCCUUACCACUCGGUCCCCGAUGGCCUGCGGGGGAUUGGUUCAGGCUCAACUCCUCGCUUUACGUUAGCGGACCUACACUACAGGUCGGGUCGGGGCUCUGCGCUCUUUCUUUCUGUGUGGGACGAUGUCAGGGAGAGAAGGGAAUGUGUCGAGGCAGCGAACAACACAACUAG